AAUGGAGAAAAACAUAGAUUAACCAGCACAUCGAUUGGACCACAUUUAAAGCUUGUUUAUUGAUACAAAGCAAAACAAUAAAACUAACA